GCCUUUUUAGUAUAAUUAGUAUAAGUGACUUCCAAUCACUUGAUCUUGGUUAAAAUCUAAGAAAAGACA
rnacentral:tRNA from 1 species